rnacentral:rRNA from 1 species
ACAGGUGCUGCAUGGCUGUCGUCAGCUCGUGUUGUGAAAUGUUGGGUUAAGUCCCGCAACGAGCGCAACCCUUAUCCUUUGUUGCCAGCGGUCCGGCCGGGAACUCAAAGGAGACUGCCAGUGAUAAAUUGGAGGAAGGUGGGGAUGACGUCAAGUCAUCAUGGCCCUUACGACCAGGGCUACACACGUGCUACAAUGGCGCAUACAAAGAGAAGCGACCUCGCGAGAGCAAGCGGACCUCAUAAAGUGCGUCGUAGUCCGGAUUGGAGUCUGCAACUCGACUCCAUGAAGUCGGAAUCGCUAGUAAUCGUGGAUCAGAAUGCCACGGUGAAUACGUUCCCGGGCCUUGUACACACCGCCCGUCACACCAUGGGAGUGGGUUGCAAAAGAAGUAGGUAGCUUAACCUUCGGGAGGGCGCUUACCACUUUGUGAUUCAUGACUGGGGUGAAGUCGUAACAAGGUAACCGUAGGGGAACCUGCGGUUGGAUCACCUCCUUACCUUAAAGAAGC